rnacentral:rRNA from 1 species
CGGCCACCGCUAUUGGUAUUCGAUUAAGACAUGCGAGUCGAGAGACGUAAGGUCUCGGCGGACCGCUGAGUAACACGCGGAUAACAUGCCCUGGGGUGGGGGAUAACCUCGGGAAACUGAGAAUAAUACCCCAUAGGUUUAGGGUGCUGGAAUGCUUCUAUGCUGAAAACUCCGGUGCCCCAGGAUUGGUCUGCGGCUUAUCAGGUUGUAGUGGGUGUAACGGACCCACUAGCCUAUGACGAGUAUGGGCCUUGAGAGAGGAAGCCCACAGAUGGACUCUGAGACAUGAGUCCAGGCCCUACGGGGCGCAGCAGUCGCGAAAACUUCACAAUGGGAGAAAUCCCGAUGAGGGAAUACCAAGUGCCAGCACUUUUGUGUUGGCUGUUCUCUUGUCUAAAAAACAGGAGAAGUAAGGGCCGGGUAAGACGGGUGCCAGCCGCCGCGGUAAUACCCGCGGCCCGAGUGGUGGUCGAUAUUAUUGAGCCUAAAACGUCCGUAGCCGGUCUCAUAAAUCCUUGGGUAAAUCGGCCAGCUUAACUGUCCGAAGUCCGAGGAGACUGUGAGACUUGGGAUCGGGAGAGGUCAGAGGUACUUCUGGGGUAGGGGUAAAAUCCUGUAAUCCUGGAAGGACCACCGGUGGCGAAGGCGUCUGACUAGAACGAAUUCGACGGUGAGGGACGAAGCCCUGGGGCGCAAACGGGAUUAGAUACCCCGGUAGUCCAGGGUGUAAACGCUGCGGGCUUGGUGUUGGGGGUCCUUUGUGGGCGCCCAGUGCCGGAGAGAAGUUGUUAAGCCUGCUGCUUGGGGAGUACGUCCGCAAGGAUGAAACUUAAAGGAAU